rnacentral:lncRNA from 1 species
AGUUCUUCCUCUCUCUCUUGGCCAUCUCAACAAAAUUUCCAGCAAGGUCCUUCAAUAUUUUCAGCCAAGUUCACCAACUUUUCACUAGUUUCAAAGAUAAAACAUACUAUAUAUAUAAGGCAAGAGAUAAAAUAUAUAUCAUGCAUUUCUAGUAAAAUUUCUUCCAAGAUUUUUAAUGAAUAGUUGUGAAACUCAAGCUCUCUUCCUCUCGGUCAACACAGAGAAUUUUCCAGCAGGUUAUCAGUUUUUAAGCAAAGUUUUCCUUCAGAUUUUACGCUGAUCCUUCUUUGUUUCACGUUAAACACUGCAUGCAUGACAAGGUAGAAGAGCUAGGGUGUGUGUGUGUUGUAUACAAAUUCAACUUAACAAAUUUUGAGAGAAGAACAACAUGCAGUAAUUUCAGCAGAAUAUUUCCAGCUUUGAGGCAUUUUUCCUUGGUUAAAUUUCUCUUUUCUUGAGGGUAGUUCAAGUUAAGACAGUAUAGAACUAAGGUAGAGAGGAAAUAAGGGAAAUUUAUCAGGUUUUACCUCUUGUUUCCUGACAAUGAAAGCUGGGAAAAUUGCAGACUGUUUCACCUUUCUUCUCUCGGUUUCUCAAAGGCAAAAUGCUCCAAUUUUCUCCCCUCAAUGCAGCUGGUUUGGGCACAAAGAAGCUGCAAUCGCUUCCUCACUCUCAAUUCUCUCUCUUGUGUUGAAUUGAUAAGAGGAAAAUGGACUAACUCUCUCACUCACUCUCUCGGUUGCAGGCUAGAAUAAAAAAGAACUAGAAAUGUGUUUGCUCUCUCGGUC